rnacentral:rRNA from 1 species
AAGCUUGNCAGGCCGUAGGCCGUCUCCGGUUAUCCGGUGUCAAGAAACCAAAGUGGUUUCCAAGAAUUGUUGAAAGGUAUCUUAUCCUGAAUUCAAUAGGGAUAAGAAGCGAACGCGGGGAACUGAAACAUCUAAGUACCUGGGGGAAAGGACAUCAACCGAAACUCCCCAAAUAGUGGCGAGCGAACGCGGACCACGCCCGUGGCAAUGAAGAAUAAAGUGGAACGACUUGGAAAGGUCGGCCGUAACGGGUGAUAGCCCCGUACACAAAAAACACUCAUUGUCCUUGAGUAGGGCGGGACACGUCAAAUCCUGUCUGAACAUGGGGAGACCACUCU